GGACUACACGGGUUUCUAAUCCUGUUUGCUCCCCACGCUGUCGCGCCUCAGCGUCAGCAACGGCCCAGCAGAACGCCUUCGCCACUGGUAUUCUUCCCGAUCUCUACGCAUUCCACCGCUACACCGGGAAUUCCAUCUGCCCCUACCGUGCUCUAGCUCGCCAGUCUGACCGGCAGCCCCGCAGUUGAGCCGCGGGAUUUCACCAGCCACUUAACGGGCCGCCUACGCGCCCUUUACGCCCAGUGAUUCCGGACAACGCUCGCACCCUCCGUAUUACCGCGGCGGCUGGCAC
rnacentral:rRNA from 1 species